GUCUGUUUGAUAGUUAUAAAUGGUCUAACCUGCCCACUGAAAUAAAUUUAAAGGGCCGCGGUAAUUUAACCGUGCAAAGGUAGCAUAAUAAUUAGUCUUUUAAUUGGAGGCUUGAAUGAAUGGUUGAACAAAUAAAUGAUUGUCUCUUUUUUAAAAUUUGAAUUUAACUUUUAAGUGAGAAGGCUUAAAUGGUUCAGGGGGACGAUAAGACCCUAUAAAUCUUUAUAUAAAUGUUUAUUUUUUGUUGAUAAGUUGUUUAAUAGUUUAAAAUGAAUAAUAUAUUGUAUUGGGGUGAUAGGAGUAUAAAUAGUGUAACUGCUUGUUUUUAAAUACUUAUAAUGUUUGUUUAUUUUUAAUGAUCCUUUUUAAGAUUUUAAGAUUAAGUUACUUUAGGGAUAACAGCGUAAUUUUUUUUAAGAGUUCUUAUCGAAAAAAAAGUUUGCGACCUCGAUGUUGAAUUAAAAUUUCUUUAUAGUGUAGCCGUUAUAAGAGAAGGUCUGUUCGACCUUUAAUAUUUACAUGAUU
rnacentral:rRNA from 1 species